AUGGCAAUGGAGCCGCUCCCCCUCGGCUUCGGCGACGCCAUGGACACCACCCUCUUCUCCACGCUCUGGUCCUUCCAGGAGGAGCUGCAGCCCCAGGAGAGCGUGGAGGAGCUGAAGCAGAGCUUGCUGGCGGCGACCAUGGAGCUGGAGGUGUCCAAGGAGGAGCUGCGGAGGAAGGAGCAGAGCAUCGCCAAGCUCGCCGACCUCGUGCGCCAGGUGGCCAAGGAGCGGGACGACGCGAGGGACCAGGUGCAGCAGCUGCUCCUCGCCGCGGCUAAGCAGGCCGCGCCGCCGGUGCACCAGCCGGCGCCGGCCCUGGGCACGUCGAGCGUCACCGACUCGGACUGCAGCCUCGUGUCGUCCCCCGUCGACCCCUUCUUCGACCCCGUCACCUCCUCCGACCGGCGCCGCUGCGGGGGCGGCAAGCUCGGCGCCGCCAGCCCGCCCCCGCCGGCCAAGCAGCAGCAGCUCUGCGGCGCCGACGCCGUGCUCGACAUGCUCGCCGCGAAGAAGCCGCUGCCGCCGAGGGGUCGGCUGCUGCAGUCCGUCAUGGAGGCGGGGCCCCUGCUGCAGAACCUGCUCGUGGCCGGGCCGCUCCCGCGCUGGCGCAACCCGCCGCCCGUGCACGCGCUCGACACGCUCCCGGUCGGCGGCGGCGGAGUCUACAUGAACGCGACGCCACUCCACGCCGCGAACGCCGGCGCGGCUCCCGGCUACGGCCCCAACGCCAACAGCGCCUGCAUGAAGCGGCCGAUGGCGGCGAUGCCCGCCAUGCCCAUGGCCGCCACCAGCUGCUCGCCGUCGCGGGGCUUCGCCCCCAAGCGGCACCGGCUGCAUUGA
rnacentral:rRNA from 1 species